GAUGAACGCUAGCGGCAGGCUUAAUACAUGCAAGUUGAGGGGCAGCAUGAUAUACGCGAGUAUAUUGAUGGCGACCGGCGGACGGGUGAGUAAUAGGUAGGAGACCUACCUCAUACAGGGGGAUAGCAUAGAGAAAUCUGUGGUAAUACCCCAUGAGGUUAUAUGAAUAGAGGCAUAUAAUCAAAGCAUAAGCGAUUAUGCGGUAUGAGAGGGGCCUACUGACCAUUAGCUAGUUGGUGAGGUAAGGGCUCACCAAGGCGAAGAUGGUUAGGGGUUUUGAGAGAGAGACCCCCCACAUUGGAACUGAGAGACGGUCCAGACUCCUACGGGAGGCAGCAGUAGGGAAUAUUGGGCAAUGGGCGAAAGCCUGACCCAGCCAUGCCGCGUGAAGGAAGACGGCCCUAUGGGUUGUAAACUUCUUUACUACGCGAAUAGAGGUUAGUACGAGAUACUAAUAGGAAGGUAGUGUAGUAAAAAGCACCGGCUAACUCCGUG
rnacentral:rRNA from 1 species